rnacentral:rRNA from 1 species
UACGGAGGGGGCUAGCGUUGUUCGGAAUUACUGGGCGUAAAGCGCGCGUAGGCGGCUUUGUAAGUUAGAGGUGAAAGCCCGGAGCUCAACUCCGGAAUUGCCUUUAAGACUGCAUCGCUAGAAUCAUGGAGAGGUGAGUGGAAUUCCGAGUGUAGAGGUGAAAUUCGUAGAUAUUCGGAAGAACACCUGUGGCGAAAGCGGCUCACUGGACCACAACUGACGCUGAGGCACGAAAGCUAGGGGAGCAAACAGG